GCCAUGGUGUGCAGCACCAAGGACAGGUAUGUUUACCUGUGUGUGGAUGGUGUUCAGCACCAGGGACUGGUGGGCUUACAU
rnacentral:pre_miRNA from 1 species